rnacentral:tmRNA from 1 species
GGGGCUGACUGGCUUUGACAGCGGGUAGAGGUGGUGUGUAAGCAUGCAGAGCUUCGUAGCCUGGCUCUUUAAUCUCAGACUUCAAAAAUUUAAUUGGCGAAAAUUCUUACGCUCUCGCUGCCUAAUCGAAGCACAGUAGAUUGGCUUUAUUCCCCCACAAGGUGAGGGAACGAGACAUCACCCAGAUGCUGUUGUUCCGAAGCGGUCUGAAUAGGUGGUGCAGAUAAUAUCGGAAAUAGCCUGCGGCUUGUCCUGCGCCAAGGGUGAAGUUCUUAAGGACUAAGGUUGUGGUUGGUAGCUUCGCACUCGCCGCUUCCCUACAAUUGCAGCGAAGAUAAGCAUGUAGAAAGCACGUCAGUUCCUCGUUUGGACGAGGGUUCGAUUCCCUCCAGCUCCACAA